rnacentral:rRNA from 1 species
UACGGAGGGUGCAAGCGUUGUCCGGAUUUAUUGGGUUUAAAGGGUGCGUAGGUGGGUGCUUAAGUCCGACCUGAAAGUGGGCCGCUCAACGGCACAGGGUGGUUGGAUACUGGGCGUCUUGAAGAGGGUGGAGGCCGCCGGAACGGAUCGUGUAGCGGUGAAAUGCAUAGAGAUGAUCCAGAACCCCGAUUGCGAAGGCAGGCGGCUACGCCCCACUUGACACUGAGGCACGAGAGCAUGGGGAGCAAACAGG